GACGAACGCUAGCGGCGUGCUUAACACAUGCAAGUCGAACGGAAAGGCCCUGCUUUUGUGGGGUGCUCGAGUGGCGAACGGGUGAGUAACACGUGAGUAACCUGCCCUUGACUUUGGGAUAACUUCAGGAAACUGGGGCUAAUACCGGAUAGGAGCUCCUGCUGCAUGGUGGGGGUUGGAAAGUUUCGGCGGUUGGGGAUGGACUCGCGGCUUAUCAGCUUGUUGGUGGGGUAGUGGCUUACCAAGGCUUUGACGGGUAGCCGGCCUGAGAGGGUGACCGGCCACAUUGGGACUGAGAUACGGCCCAGACUCCUACGGGAGGCAGCAGUGGGGAAUAUUGCACAAUGGGCGGAAGCCUGAUGCAGCAACGCCGCGUGCGGGGUGACGGCCUUCGGGUUGUAAACCGCUUUCGCCUGUGACGAAGCGUGAGUGACGGUAAUGGGUAAAGAAGCACCGGCUAACUACGUG
rnacentral:rRNA from 1 species